GAUGAACGCUGGCGGCGUGCUUAAUACAUGCAAGUCGAACGGAAAGGCUCCUGCUUGCCGGGGUUCUCGAGUGGCGAACGGGUGAGUAUAACGUGGGUGAUCUGCCCUGCACUUAGGGAUAAGCCUGGGAAAAUGGGUAUAAUACCGGAUAGGAUGUUGUUUUGGAUGCCAUUGUGGAAAGUUUUUUCGGUGUGGGAUGAGUUCGCGGUCUAUCAGCUUGUUGGUGGGGUAAUGGCCUACCAAGGCGUCGACAGGUAGCCGGCCUGAGAGGGUGUACGGCCACAUUGGGACUGAGAUACGGCCCAGACUCCUACGGGAGGCAGCAGUGGGGAAUAUUGCACAAUGGGCGCAAGCCUGAUGCAGCGACGCCGCGUGGGGGAUGACGGCCUUCGGGUUGUAAACUCCUUUCGCUAGGGACGAAGCGCAAGUGACGGUACCUGGAGAAGAAGCACCGGCUAACUACGUG
rnacentral:rRNA from 1 species